rnacentral:lncRNA from 1 species
UCCAGUAGUAAACUCACAUUUCUUUAUUGCUUUAAGAUUUAUAAAGUUGGUAGUACAAAUAUUGUUGCCGUCUUGCAGAUGAAGAAACUGAGGAUCAGAGAGACAGUGUCUUGCCAUAUGGUCACAGCAUCUAAUGAAUGUCAAAACUAGGAUUUGAAUUCAAGUCUUUCUUGAUUCAGUCCAGUAUUCAUUCUACUGCUUCAUGCUGCCUUUCUGUGAUCUCUUGGGUAUGAUGAAGAAUGGGAUCUGUAAAAGAUCUGUAGAAUGAAGACAGCAAGUCAAAACAGAGAAUGACCAUAACUGGAGGAAGUAAAGAAUGAGGAAAUGGUCAAGAUUUGAGGGUAGGAGGAAACAAGCUCUGUAACCUAUAUUCAGGGGCUAAUUCCCUGUGGCUACUUUGGAGCAGAUGUAACCAAGAAAUCAAUAUAGUCAUUAGAUUAACCUGUGGCAGCCAUGAUGGGAGAGCAGUGCCUACCAUGGAGCGUGGGCUGAGAUGCAGCAGGUAGGGGUGAUGGAGCUCCAGAUGGACUCAGCACUUGAGGCUUGCCCAUGUGGCAGAAUACCUAUGGCUUUAGGACAGGAUCUCAGGAGCCAAAGGACAUUCAAGUGUGUAGGUGCAACUUUUAUAUGCAAAAAAACUAGCAUUUCAUAAGAACUUUAGAAAAAGAUGGAUGUGUG